rnacentral:rRNA from 1 species
AUUGAACGCUGGCGGCAGGCCUAACACAUGCAAGUCGAGCGGGGUUUUCGGACCUAGCGGCGGACGGGUGAGUAAUGCGUAGGAAGCUGCCCGAUAGAGGGGGAUACCAGUUGGAAACGACUGUUAAUACCGCAUAAUGUCUACGGACCAAAGUGUGGGACCUUAGGGCCACAUGCUAUCGGAUGCGCCUACGUGGGAUUAGCUAGUUGGUGAGGUAAUGGCUCACCAAGGCGACGAUCGCUAGCUGGUUUGAGAGGAUGAUCAGCCACACUGGAACUGAGACACGGUCCAGACUCCUACGGGAGGCAGCAGUGGGGAAUAUUGGGCAAUGGGCGCAAGCCUGAUCCAGCCAUGCCGCGUGUGUGAAGAAGGCCUUCGGGUUGUAAAGCACUUUCAGCGAGGAGGAAGGGGUGUGUGUUAAUAGUACACACCUUUGACGUUACUCGCAGAAGAAGCACCGGCUAACUCUGUGCCAGCCGCCGCGGUAAAAC